rnacentral:rRNA from 1 species
UACGUAGGUGGCGAGCGUUUGUCCGGAUUUAUUGGGUUAAAGGGUGCGUAGGCGGCUUUGUAAGUCAGUGGUGAAAUACUCCAGCUUAACUGGAGGGGUGCCAUUGAUACUGCGGAGCUUGAGUACAGAUGAGGUAGGCGGAAUUGACGGUGUAGCGGUGAAAUGCAUAGAUAUCGUCAAGAACACCGAUAGCGAAGGCAGCUUACUGGGCUGUAAACUGACGCUGGAUGCACGAAAAGUGUGGGGAUCAAAACAGGA